rnacentral:rRNA from 1 species
GACGAACGCUGGCGGCGUGCUUAACACAUGCAAGUCGAACGGAAAGGCCCUGCUUGUGUGGGGUGCUCGAGUGGCGAACGGGUGAGUAACACGUGAGUAACCUGCCCUUGACUUUGGGAUAACUUCAGGAAACUGGGGCUAAUACCGGAUAGGAGCUCCUGCUGCAUGGAGGGGGUUGGAAAGUUUCGGCGGUUGGGGAUGGACUCGCGGCUUAUCAGCUUGUUGGACGGGUAGUGGCUUACCAAGGCUUUGACGGGUAGCCGGCCUGAGCAGGUGACCGGCCAGUGUGGCCUGCGCGUACGGGCCAGGCAACCGCGAGCGGCUGCGGUGCGGUAUCCGGCCCAUCGACCCCAAUCCUAAUGCAUCCCCGCAGUGUGCGGGAUUACAGCAUGCGACUUGUAGUCUGAAUGUGGCUGGGAUGAACAGAGUGUGCCAGUAAUGCAGAAAUAAGCUCCGCCUAACUACGUG